GCCACGGUGGUCUAGCGGUUAGAACGCGGGCCUUGUAAUCCUGGGGUCUCGGGUUCGAUUCCCGGCGGUGCCC
rnacentral:tRNA from 1 species